AGUCGACGGGAUCUGACCAGCUUGCUGGUUGGUGAGAGUGGCGAACGGGUGAGUAAUGCGUGACCAACCUGCCCCAUGCUCCAGAAUAGCUCUUGGAAACGGGUGGUAAUGCUGGAUGCUCCAACUCGACGCAUGUCUUGUUGGGAAAGUGUUUAGUGGCAUGGGAUGGGGUCGCGUCCUAUCAGCUUGUAGGCGGGGUAAUGGCCCACCUAGGCUUCGACGGGUAGCCGGCCUGAGAGGGCGGACGGCCACAUUGGGACUGAGAUACGGCCCAGACUCCUACGGGAGGCAGCAGUGGGGAAUAUUGCGCAAUGGGGGAAACCCUGACGCAGCGACGCCGCGUGCGGGAUGAAGGCCUUCGGGUUGUAAACCGCUUUUGAUUGGGAGCAAGCCUUUUUGGUGAGUGUACCUUUCGAAUAAGCGCCGGCUAACUACGUGCCAGCAGCCGCGGUAAUACGUAGGGCGCAAGCGUUAUCCGGAAUUAUUGGGCGUAAAGAGCUUGUAGGCGGUUCGUCGCGUCUGGUGUGAAAGCCCAUCGCUUAACGGUGGGUUUGCGCCGGGUACGGGCGGGCUAGAGUGCAGUAGGGGAGACUGGAAUUCUCGGUGUAACGGUGGAAUGUGUAGAUAUCGGGAAGAACACCAAUGGCGAAGGCAGGUCUCUGGGCUGUUACUGACGCUGAGAAGCGAAAGCGUGGGGAGCGAACAGGAUUAGAUACCCUGGUAGUCCACGCCGUAAACGGUGGACGCUGGAUGUGGGGCCCAUUCCACGGGUUCUGU
rnacentral:rRNA from 1 species